GAUGAACGCUGGCGGUGUGCCUAAUACAUGCGAGUCGAGCGAACAGACGAGGAGCUUACUCCUCUGACGUUAGCGGCGGACGGGUGAGUAACACGUGGAUAACCUACCUAUAAGACUGGGAUAACUUCGGGAAACCGGAGCUAAUACCGGAUAACAUGUUGAACCGCAUGGUUCAACAGUGAAAGACGGUCUUGCUGUCACUUAUAGAUGGAUCCGCGUCGCAUUAGCUAGUUGGUAAGGUAACGGCUUACCAAGGCAACGAUGCGUAGCCGACGUGAGAGGGUGAUCGGCCACACUAGAACGGAGACACGAUCCAGACUCCUACGGGAGGCAGCAGUAGGGAAUCUUCCGCAAUGGGCGAAAGCCUGACGGAACAACGCCGCGUGAGUGAAGAAAGUCUUCGGAUCGUAAAACUCUGUUAUUAGGGAAGAACAAAUGUGUAAGUAACUAUGCACGUCUUGACGGUACCUAAUCAGAAAGCCACGGCUAACUACGUG
rnacentral:rRNA from 1 species